rnacentral:lncRNA from 1 species
GGAUUAUCCUGACCGAAGUUUUACUGAAUUGAAAUACAUUAAUGUAUUAACUCCUACUUAUUCAGAGGGGUCAAUUCCAUCUUGACUCACACACUGACUUCGUAAGUACUUGACUUGAUCCAAAAAUUUUUCAUCACUGAAUUAAAAAUUCAGAUAGUUCAGUAUCAAAGCACAGUGAGUUACUUGUAAGUCAUCGUGAUGAUC